CUGAUUUUUUUUCCAUUCAUGUUUGAGAAAUCCUCUAAUCUCCCGUGGCAACCAUUCAGCCGUGGAAAACGCACAGAAUGGCCUGGUUGGACCUAGCUCCGCCUUCAAGGCUCAGCUCCUCCUCAGAGCUGCAGUUUCCAAAUUUCCACCUCACAGAGGAGCCCUCAACCACAACGCCCCACUGAGCUCCUUCAGACUAGCCAGCAGCAAUUUGCAAACAUCUGGUGGAGCAGCUCAUCGACUAUGCUAACUACUUCUCAAUGAAAUGCAGCCUUUUUAUAACAAUUGAAGGUAACAGUUACUUGAUUGUGCUCUAAAAUGGCAAGAUGAGCCUGGAAAGCCCAUGAUACCGCCCCUUUAAAUUCACCUUUAGUUACAGUAGCAGGAUCUCACUCCUUCAUUGUGAGGGUAAACAGAUUUGACUAAAUCUGCUGGAGCUAUGACUGGUGGUUUUUUAGCAAAUUGACAUUAAACAGUGUGAUGACUGAUCUGUCAUGCUGUGUGUCUGUUUAGCUUUCAAAGACUGGGACUCUUGUCAGAGAUGAUGACAUCAAACUUUUUAAAAUCCUUUCAGGAGUUUCUUUUUUCACCCUCUAAAGUUAACGACAAAACUGUUCACUUCCAUUUAAAUGUUUUCUAAACGUAACAGAUUGAUAUUUUUAUGGCUGCUUUGCUGCGCAAUUCUGCUGAAUAAAAGCUGUAAACUGAACUUUCUCUGUUCGCUCCAACCUUUCACAAUGCUCAAAGGGUUAACAGCUGUGAUACUCAUACCUUCUUUCUUUUCAGCUUGACAUCAUCCCAUUACAGUGAAAUGAAGCAUUUUAAGUUUUGUUUGUUACACCUUGUUUCUGUGUGUAAUUCUCCACUCUGUCCAGGAGGGGUCAGUACAAACUACUGAAACUUGCUUGUUUUUUUUGUUUUUUUUUUGUCUUGCUGUACUGCCACCAUCAUUUCUCCAUGUGAUGAGUCAUGACUCCUGCUCAAACGCAGCACAUUUUCAUUUGCUUUUUCACCGGUUUUCAAUCCAAAAACGUAAUUAUUGAAAACUGAGUGAAAAUGGAGGACAUUUUAGAUCACGAUGCACCAACAAUAUUCAUUUGAGCGUAUAGAUUCAGCUGCUUUUUCUUUACGUUAUUGCAUUCCUUUUCCAGGUUGGAAUACUGGAUUACUGUCACCGCCUCACAGCGUCUCCCGUCGGUCACGCAGGGUACAGAGCGCAUGUGGAUAACUCCUACUUUUCUCUUCGCCCUGCCUCGUUCAGAAGAUUAUCUGCGCAAAUGCGGCGCUGCAAUCCUCUUUUCCCCUCCUCUCUGUUUUCAUCCCAGGUCUGGGUGGAGUAUUCUCACUGUGCUGCUGCUCUCAACAGGAAGUGAGGCGUCUUUAGCGUACAGGUGUCUGCUGAGAGCGAUGAUGCGGGCCGCUGAAUGGGGGGACGUAAUGUCGUCAAAAGGGUCAAAAAAAAAA